CCUACGGGUGGCAGCAGUGAAGAAUAUUGGUCAAUGGACGAGAGUCUGAACCAGCCAAGUAGCGUGAAGGAUGACUGCCCUAUGGGUUGUAAACUUCUUUUAUAUGGGAAUAAAAUGUUCCACGUGUGGGAUUUUGUAUGUACCAUAUGAAUAAGGAUCGGCUAACUCCGUGCCAGCAGCCGCGGUAAUACGGAGGAUCCGAGCGUUAUCCGGAUUUAUUGGGUUUAAAGGGAGCGUAGGUGGAUUGUUAAGUCAGUUGUGAAAGUUUGCGGCUCAACCGUAAAAUUGCAGUUGAAACUGGCAGUCUUGAGUACAGUAGAGGUGGGCGGAAUUCGUGGUGUAGCGGUGAAAUGCUUAGAUAUCACGAAGAACUCCGAUUGCGAAGGCAGUUCACUGGACUGCAACUGACACUGAGGCUCGAAAGUGUGGGUAUCAAACAGGAUUAGAUACCCGUGUAGUC
rnacentral:rRNA from 1 species